rnacentral:lncRNA from 1 species
UCAGAAUCAAGCACAAUGUUUGGAAUAUCAGCAACAGCAUCAGAAAAAUUAAUUACAUCAUUGGGAAUUACAAAACCAACAGGAUCAACAUUUGUGAAUUCUUCAGCAUCUUCAGGAAAUAGAGGAUCGACAUCUGCAUUCUCAACAACCUCUUCAACAACCCCUUCAACAGACGUUUGGGCAGAUAGGUCUUCAGCUUGAAGGACACCAUCGUCAAGCAAG